rnacentral:rRNA from 1 species
CCCUACGGGGGGCAGCAGUCGGGAAUAUUGCACAAUGGAGGAAACUCUGAUGCAGUGACACCGCGUAUAGGAAGAAGGUUUUCGGAUUGUAAACUAUUUUAGACAGGGAAGAAAAAAGACAGUACCUGUAGAAUAAGCUCCGGCUAACUACGUGCCAGCAGCCGCGGUAAUACGUAGGGAGCAAGCGUUAUCCGGAAUUAUUGGGUGUAAAGGGUGCGUAGACGGGACAGCAAGUUAGAUGUGAAAACCAUGGGCUCAACAUGUGGCCUGCAUUUGAAACUGUUUUUCUUGAGUACUGG